AUUGUUUUUAUAAAGUUGUGUAUAGUUUUGACAAAAGUGUUCCAUUUUGCAAAUGAUCUGAAGUGUUGUGCUACUUUGGUGUAGGGUUGUGUUAAUCGGGUGUAGUGUUUUGACAAACCGGGCCCUGUUUUCAAAAUUGUGCUUAAGCAAUCGUAAAAAACUGUAAUACACACACACACACACA